rnacentral:rRNA from 1 species
UACGGAGGGCGCGAGCGUUGUCCGGAAUCACUGGGCGUAAAGGGCGCGUAGGCGGCCCUGAUAAGGCUCGCGUGAAAGCCGGGGGCUCAACCCCGGGUCGGCGCGGGCGACUGUCGGGCUCGGGCACGGUAGGGGCAGGCGGAAUUCCGGGUGUAGCGGUGGAAUGCGUAGAGAUCCGGAGGAACACCGGUGGCGAAGGCGGCCUGCUGGGCCGGGAGGUGGUAGAGAUCACAUCAAUACCACCGUGCCGACGCUGAGGCGCGACAGCGUGGGGAGCAAACAGGAUUAGAAACCCGUGUAGU